CAUAUCAAUAAGCGGAGGAAAAGAAACCAACAGGGAUUGCCUCAGUAACGGCGAGUGAAGCGGCAAAAGCUCAAAUUUGAAACCUUCGGGAUUGUAAUUUGAAGAUUUGGCAUUGGAGAAAGCUAACCCAAGUUACUUGGAAUAGUACGUCAUAGAGGGUGACAACCCCGUCUGGCUAACCGUUCUCCAUGUAUUGCCUUAUCAAAGAGUCGAGUUGUUUGGGAAUGCAGCUCAAAGUGGGUGGUAAACUCCAUCUAAAGCUAAAUACUGGUGAGAGACCGAUAGCGAACAAGUACUGUGAAGGAAAGGUGAAAAGAACUUUGAAAAGAGAGUGAAAUAGUAUGUGAAAUUGUUGAUAGGGAAGGAAAUGAGUGGAGAGUGGUUUCGGUUUCAGCCUUCUUUCGAGGGGGUGUACUGCCAACGCCGAGUCAUUGUCAGCGAUUGGAGGGUUAUAAACGGGUUGCUUUUAAGCUUCUCACCUAACCCUCUUCCUGCCGACAACGACAUAAUCCACCCAUUUCACCCGUCUUGAAACACGGACCAAGGAGUCUAAUGGAUAUGUGAGUGUUAGGGUGCUAAACCCCAGCGCGCAAUGAAAGUGAAUGAUUCGUUCAGAAUCGACCGAACUUGAUUUUUAUGACAGUUUUGAGUAAACACAUCCAUUGGGACCCGAAAGAUGGUGAACUAUGCUUGAGUAGGGUGAAGUCAGAGGAAACUCUGAUGGAGGCUCGUAGCGGUUCUGACGUGCAAAUCGAUCGUAGAACUUGAGCAUAGGGGCGAAAGACUAAUCGAACCAUCUAGUAGCUGGUUCCUGC
rnacentral:rRNA from 1 species